UACGUAGGGGGCUAGCGUUGUCCGGAGUCAUUGGGCGUAAAGAGCGUGUAGGCGGUCCGGUAAGUCCGCUGUGAAAGUCGGGGGCUCAACCCUCGAAUGCCGGUGGAUACUGUCGGGCUAGAGUGCGGAAGAGGCGAGUGGAAUUCCUGGUGUAGCGGUGAAAUGCGCAGAUAUCAGGAGGAACACCUAUUGCGAAGGCAGCUCGCUGGGACGUAACUGACGCUGAGACGCGAAAGCGUGGGGAGCAAACAGG
rnacentral:rRNA from 1 species